GACGAACGCUGGCGGCGUGCUUAACACAUGCAAGUCGAACGGUGACGAGGAGCUUGCUCUUCUGGAUCAGUGGCGAACGGGUGAGUAACACGUGAGCAAUCUGCCCUUGACUCUGGGAUAACAGUUGGAAACAGCUGCUAAUACCGGAUACGAGACGUGACCGCAUGGUCAACGUCUGGAAAGAACUUCGGUCAAGGAUGAGCUCACGGCCUAUCAGCUAGUUGGUGAGGUAAUGGCUCACCAAGGCGACGACGGGUAGCCGGCCUGAGAGGGUGACCGGCCACACUGGGACUGAGACACGGCCCAGACUCCUACGGGAGGCAGCAGUGGGGAAUAUUGCACAAUGGGCGAAAGCCUGAUGCAGCAACGCCGCGUGAGGGACGACGGCCUUCGGGUUGUAAACCUCUUUUAGCAAGGAAGAAGCGAAAGUGACGGUACUUGCAGAAAAAGCGCCGGCUAACUACGUG
rnacentral:rRNA from 1 species